UCUAGGUGAUAGUAAUUAACUCAGUUCUAACGAGUCAAGAUUGCUGCUUAAUGCUUAAAUAAUUUUUCAUUCUAGAAACUCCAGUGUUGCAUGAAGCUUUUUAUUUCAUCUUAGGAAGCAGCAGCAGUUCAACAGCCCUUGUUUCAAACAUGACUCCUGGUUGCAAAGAGCAUUUUCACUUUUCUCUUUACAGUUGUUCACCAGUAUAUUUCUGUCUAUGACCAGUGUAUAAAAUCAGUUUCACAGAUGUGUUACACUGUCAUCCAGAAUUCAAGUUGAUAAAUGUGACUGAAGAGGAAGGUUAAAACACAGCAGGGCAAGACUUUCUACUAACAGGAGUCAACAAUAACAUUGAAAAUGUUAAAUCUAUACAAAAUUUCACAGACACUGCUGUUACAUUUUCAAGUAAUGGAACUCCUCCACCAAAGCUAACAAUGUGUUUCUCAUAACAGCACUUUAUCUUUUCAAGAGAUGGCUACAAGAUAUUCCUAUACCAUUACUGUGAAAGAGUUUGCUGUGGUAUCUGUCAGCCACUGGGGUUUCUUUAGAAGCAAGUCAGGAGGAGGAUCUCCAUUGAUGCUGGUGGCUCUUGACUUGGAUCCAUGGGGUUUGUUAAGUGACACCAGUGUCAUGAAGUGAUAAGGAAAGGUCGCGCUGACCCGGAUUUUAGACUGAGCCCUCUGUGUCAGCCCAGAUGUGCUGCAACAGCAAGAAUAAGUUAAGAAGGACAGACAAAAGAAACCCUUACAGAGGUGGGUUCCUGCCAUAUUGAAAACUUUCAAAGGAUGAAAUGGAUUGGUUUGGCAGAUCCAAAGAGCCUGAAUUAAUCCCCUGGUUAGAGCAUCUGAACACUGCUGAUGUGGAACAGCACAGCCAGCAAUGUAAAGUGCAUCCCUGUAAUCUUGUUUAAUCCGAUAAACUGGAGAAAAUGAUCAGCACGCUCUAAAGACAGCACUGAUGUGGAGCCAGGCCAAUUUAGCACGUCUGCUGUGUGGAGGUGGUGGAGCUCCUGAAGGUCUGCUCUGGAGCCACUGGGAUUGUCCUUGCAUGAGGGUCAACAGUCAGCACCUGCUCAGUGCACACAAGGGGAGCAGCACCUGAGUAUGUCAAGACUUCCCAGAUUCAGAAGGUCUAUGUGAUAUUUUCUCAACAGACGACCCUCGGCUUUCCCGUAGUAAUUUUGGUGCGCUGGCCUGU